ACUCAAAUGAAUAGACGGGGACCCGCACAACCAGUGGAGCGUGUGGUUCAAUUCGAGACGAAACGAAGGACCUCACCAGGGUUUGACAUGCUACCGUUUAUUUUUCUAGAAAUAGAGAGAAAUCCGCAAGGAUGGUAGCACAGGUGCUGCAUGGCUGUCGUCAGCUCGUGCCGUGAGGUGUUCCCUUAAGUGGGGAAACGAGCGCAACCCCCAUCUAAUGUUAGAUUAUUCAUUAGAAACUGAUCCCGAUUUCAUCGGGGAAGGAAGGAGGGGAAGACGUCAAGUCAGCACGGCCCUUAUACCCUGGGCCACACACACACUACAAUGGCGAAAAACAGCGAGCCGCAAGCAUGCAAAUGCAAGCUAAUCUCUUAAAUUUCGCCUCAGUUCAGAUUGGGGUCUGCAACUCGACCCCAUGAAGCCGGAAUUGGUAGUAAUCGCAGGUCAGCAUACUGCGGUGAAUACGUUCUCGGGUCUUGUACACACCGCCCGU
rnacentral:rRNA from 1 species